rnacentral:rRNA from 1 species
AUUGAACGCUGGCGGCAGGCCUAACACAUGCAAUUCUAACGGUAACAGUAAGAAGCUUUCUUCUUUGCUGUCGAGUGGCGGACGGGUGAUUACUGUCUGGGAAACUUCCUGAUGGAGGUGGAUAACUACUGGAAACGGUAGCUAAUACCGCAUAACGUCGCAAGACCAUACAGGGGGACCUUCGGGCCUCUUGCCAUCUUAUGUUCCCAGAUGGGUUUAGCUAGUAGGUGGGGUAACGGCUUACCUAGGCGACGGUCCCUAGCUGGUCUGUAAGGAUGACCAGCCGCACUGGAACGGAGACACGGUCAAGACUCCUACGGGAGGCAGCAGUAGGGAAUAUUGCACAAUGGGCGAAAGCCUGAUGCAGCCAAGCCGCGUGCAUGAAGAAGGCCUUAGGGUUGUAAAGUACUUUCAGCGGGGAGGAAGGGAGUAAAGUUAAUACCUGUGCUCAUUGACGUUACCCGCAGAAGAAGCACCGGCUAACUCCGUG